GUUUGGCAGAAGCACAGCUACAUUAUUAUCUUUCGCGACUUCCCUGUUGCUUGGUAUAGGUGGGUUAAGUGGAAGCGUGCUAUGUCUGGCCUGGGGACUGUUUGCAACCUUCUUCCGCGGGGGAGAGGAAGUACCAGCACAAGACGAGAUCACCCCACUUGGAAAUCAGAGGUUUGCUUGGGGUUGUGUACUCUUCUUGAUGUGUUUCCUAACACUUUUCCCUAACCUUGGUGGUACAUUCUCCACUUCAUUUUUUGGUGAUCCAUACUUCCGCGGUACUCUGUAAUUUAUGAAUUACUGUUUACUUAUACCAAAUGUAUGAUAAAGUCCUGUUUUUUUGUUUGUUAAGAUCAGGUGUUUUCUCUUU
rnacentral:misc_RNA from 1 species